GAAAUAAUGCUAUCAUCCACUGAAUGCAACUUUGCAAGGCCAAAAUCUGAAAGUUUAGGAUUAAAGUUUCCAUCUAAUAGAAUGUUAUGUGGCUUGAUGUCAAAAUGUAAAAUCUUCAUAGCACAACCGUUAUGUAAAUAUUCAAUACAUCGACCAACUCCAACUACUAUCUCAAACAUCUUUUGCCAACUCAAGCUGCUAUUUGUUGAAAAUAUAAAUUUGUCUAAAGAGCCAUUUGUCAUGAAAUCAUAGACAAGAGCUUGUUUUUUCCCCUCCACACAAAAUCCAACAAGUUCCACCACAUUCACAUGAUGAAUUCUUCCGAUAGUUGCAACUUCAUUGAUAAAAUCUUGGCCAUUACCUUUCGAUUCCUUUAACAAUUUUACUGCAACAAAUUUACCACUUCAAAGUUUGCCUUUAAACACGGUACCAUAACCUCCGUCACCUAAUUUAUCCUUGAAAUCUCCUGUUAUUUUCUUUAAUUCAGCAUAUGAAUAUCUUAUAGGCAUAAAAUUUAUUUGACUUUGAAGAAAGUUCUCAAUCGCAUCAUCUACUGACAAAUGUCUUCUUCUUAAUUUGUAUAUAAUAAGAGUAAUCAAGCAACAUAUCCCCAAAAAUGUCCUCAUCAGUAACAUCCCUGUUUUUCAAGAAAAAAAAAAUCAAGCAACACCAUAAUUCUAUACGUAGUUUUUACUGUUCAUAUCAUAAAGGUUUUGUGCUUUUCAAUUUGUUUCAUUUUAUAUCUAUUUUUACUUUUAAACUUUUUCUUUAUAUAAAAGUGAGACAAAAGAUACACGUGAUGGAGACUAAUUAAGCAAAUUCAUUAGUAUCAUAGAAGUACAGAUCUGCGUACCUGUUAUUGCAAGGAAAGGAAUUUGGAAGACUGUUAAAAGACAUACAAGAAAUAUGUGUUACAUGAAUGUCUGGUAGGAAAGUAAAGGCAAAUCCUUUAAUAAAAAAAUAUAUGUCAAUAACCAUAAUGUGAUCUGUUUGUAUGGUGUUAAACUCUUAAUCUUAAUUAUGAAAGAUUAACCUUGGUUAUUUGAACUAAUAUUCAGCAUGUUACAAAAGGUGCCAAUAAGGAUGAGGAUAAGGCAGUUUUGUCUACAUUAGUUUUAGACCUCCAUAGCUUUUCCUAAUUUGGUUUCAAAACUGUUUCCCAACUUAACCAUUCAUAUGGAAUGAGAUUUGAUUUUUUUUUCUUUGUUUUAGUUUUUUGAGAUAUUUUCAAAAUUGGUCUCUCAAAUUUUAUCAGAUUUUUAAUUUAACCCCAUCUUAUUUUAAUUUUUUUAAUUUAGGGGAACGUUUGUCUUUUUAAUUUGCAGAAUAGGCCCCUCAACUUUUUUCAGGCUUAAUUUGUUUUUAUAAGGAAUUAUUAUUCCAAUUUGAACUCAUUACAAAGAUUAUAAUUAUUAGUAUAAAAAAUUACUUAUAAUAUUUUUUAAAAUAUACAUCUAUUUAUUUUUAAUUGAAAUGAUUAUUAAUCUUAUAAUUGCUAUAAAAAUGUACUUACACUAAUUUUUACAAUAAUUCUAAGUCUGGACCGACUUAAAAAAUAGGCCUAAAAUUUUGCUCAUGCCUAGUCUAGAUAAGAAUGCUAAAACCUAAUCCUGACCUGUAUUAAAAAUUUUAAUAUUAUUUUUAUAUAAAAAUAAAUUUAAAAAUAUAAUAAAAUAAAUACACUAAAAACAUUAAAAUAAAUAUUUCCCAACAAAUUGAAAAAAUUAACAAUAAAAUAAAAGUUAUACAAUAUCUAAAUAAUAAUAAUAAUAAUAAUAAUAAUAAUAAUAACAUAGUAGCAAUAUAAUAGUGAAAUUAGAGACGAAUUUAGGGGGGUUCGCAAGGGCCCAACCCCCCUAAAAUGUAAAAUUGCUAUUUAGGCCCAAAAGUUUUAAAAUAGUAAAUGUAAAAUUACACUUUGCCCCCUAAACUUAUAAAAGUUCGAUUUAACCCUUUAAAAAUUAUAAAGAUAUAGACUACAAAAAAUUAAAAUUUCAUUCGACCUCCUUAAUUUGUUCUGGCUUCACCCCUGAGUGAAAUGACAGUAAAAUAGAGACAAAACAGCAAAAACAGCAGCAUUUUUUCUUCUGCAAAUUUAGGAACAGCAGCAAUUUAUCUUUCGCAAAUUUGGGUUGAGCCAAAAAAAUUUACCCAAAGUAUGACCCGUUUAGAAAAUGUAUCUUAUUUUUUUUUAUUCAUACCUAUUUUUUUAAGCUUAUAUUUUUGUACAAAUUCUCUUACUUUUUGGACGAAUUUUCAGGAUGGGUCAGCUGACCCGAUGCAUGGUAAGUGUACAUACAACUAGAAAUAGGAAUGUACAGGAAGACCAAAAAAUUUAAACAAAUUUCUGAGGAUCUCUUUUUGCUGUUUAACUGGCUGUCCUUAUGUGUACAAAGUAUUAAAUUUUGUCUUAUUAUUAUUAUUUUAAGUGUGGUUUUGAAUUUUAUAGCCUAAUUUAAUCUAAGGUUUUUAUUCUGGAACGGGAUAUUAAAAUGUUUAAAAAAAAAUUCAAUUCUAUAAGAAGUUAUUAUAACGAAUUCUCACUGAAUUUAGCGAAAUCUUAAAGCAAUAAUACAUACCAAUUAUGGGUUUGUCUAGAAUCCGGUACGGGUUGCUUAGUAUAUAUAGCGCCACCAACGCCAACACCCGUAAGAACGAUAGCAGUCUGGAAUAUGCAACGUAACACAUAAUUAAAGAAAUGGUUAAUCAGUCCUUAAAAAUUAAAACCAUAAAAAUAAAGUAUAGAAAUCCUCACAAGUUAACAACGGAGCUCCAAUCAAGUAUGACAUUAUUGGGAAGCCGAAGGUCCCAUUUAAUUCGGGUGCCCAUCAUCAGCUUUUUGUAAAUAUCAAAAGUGGAAAGUCCACUGAUAUUAUGAAGACUGAUCGGAACCCUGGCUUCAACAGUGCAUGAAGGAUUGAAAUCAGACGGUGGAGUUCCUCCAUCCACAAAAUAAUAGAAAUUACUAUUAGUUUGUGUAGAGGAAGAACAACGAGAAGCAUUGAUGUAAUUAACACCAUGCCAAGACUUGUUCAUCUUCAUACUGCAAUUCACCACAUAUAUAUUGCUAUACUCGCUAUAGCUAUAUUCAUAAAGAGAAAAAUCAUUUUGGAAAGUGAUGUUAUCAAUGGGAGGUAAAGGAAGGGAACUGAGAGGAAUAGAGCAGUUAUGGUUGGCCACAUCCACAUCUUGCAGAUGAAUAGUUUUGUUAAAAUAAGAGAUGUUUUGGACAUAGAAAUCCCCAUCUUCCGUAGGGAAGAUGGUGCGGUGGUUGUUGCAAACCAGCUCAAACCAGCUCAAACCACAGCCUUGAGGCUGGGAUUUUAAUCGAAAAGGGUAACUAACGCUAAGGUUUCCACACGAAGUAACUCCACAAUGCUUGCCUAUGCUUCGAGCGGUGGAAGCAUGAGGAAAGAGAGAUAAAGCUAGUGCCAACAGGAAAAUUAAUGCAAGUUUUGGUCUUACCAUCCUAAAAGUUUCAGGGGGAGAGAGAGGAGAUUUUAGUUUAAUUUAAUACAGGCUAACCAGUCUCUUAACUGUUUCUGCAAUUUUUCACUCUCCAAAACCAUGUCUUUCUUUCUCAAAUUUAAAGAAAAAAAAGGGAGUAGAUAACUAAUUGCAAACCAUACAACAAUGGUUUCACUCUGAAAUUUUCAACAAAGCACAUUAAAGAAAUCAUUGAUUUCUUGAUAAGACCAUGAAAUAGUUAAUAGGACAUAAUAGCGGUAAUAGAAGACUAAUUUGGAAUAAAUUACAUUUUCAACACUGAUUGUGAUUUUGUAAUAAAGUAAUUUUAUCCAAAAUAUUAAUAAAUGUUAUGUACGGUAAUAAAGAAAUUACUUUUAAAUAAAAAAUUUGCAAGAUGAUAAUAAUUUUUUGAUUUAGCGAGAAUUAUAUUAUCUUGUAAGCAUAAGAAUUUCGGUUUAAUCCUAAGCAACUUCAUUUCUAUCUUUAAUUAUUAAUAAGUAAAAAUAAUAUAAGAUCAAAUCCUAAAGAUAAAUAUUGUAAAAAAUGAUAGUCACGAAAGCCCAACCUAAACUAUAAAAAAAAACAUAAUACUUUUUUUUUUCUGAAAUAACCUACCAGUAUAUUUAUAAAAAAAAUUUAGUGUGAAAAGACUAGUUUUUGAGUUGAGAGAAAUUUGAUGAGUUUAUCAAAUAAUUAAAAAAAACCAGUUUAUAUAAAAAUAAUAAAUAAAAACAACAGUAGAGAAUAAUAUAUUUCAGAACUAAGCAUGUCCAAUUGUUCGGAUUUUUCAUUACUAAGAAAAUAUUUCUAAAAAAUGCCUGACACGUUAACAACUGAGCUCCAAUCCAGCAGGCCAUCUUCAAAAUUCCAGAAAACUGGGGCACCCAUCAUCAGCUUUUGGUAAAUAUCAAAAGUAGAGAGGUUACUGAUGUUAUGAAGACCGAUCGGAACCAGGGCCUCAACUGUGCAAGAGGGAUGAAAAGCAGAGGGUGGAGUUCCUCCAUCCAAAAAAUAGAAGUAAUUAUUAUUAGUUGGUGGAAAGGAAGAGCAAGGAGAAGCAUUUAUGUAAUUAGCCCCACACCAAGACUUGUUUAUCUUCAUACUGCAAUUCAUGACAAACAUCUCUUCAUAUGUAGAUCUAUCGAAAUAAAACUCGGUAUGAAGAUAUGUAUAAGUUGUUAUUCCUAUUCGAUGGAAUUUUCUACGCAUAGGAAAACCGAAAGGAAGAGAGCACCUAUCUAUGUCCAGAUUCACAUCUACAAGAUGAAUAGUUUGGUUAUCAUAAGAGAUGUGUUGGACAUAGAAACUCCCGCGUUCCAUAGGGAAAAUGGCGCGGUUAUUGUCGCACACCAGCUCAAACCACUUAUGACCACAGCUACGAGGCUGGGUUUUUAAUCGAAAAGGGCAACUGAUGUUAAGGUUUCCACACAAAGUAAAUCCACAAGGCGUGUUUAUAAAUAUAUAAUCGUUUGUUAAUAUAUUUUUAUAAAUAUAUAUUUCUAAUAUAAAAUAUUUUUCGUUCACUCAUGAAUGAAGUGAGUUUGAUAAAAUCUAUAGUUUUAAAUAUAAAAAUAUUUUGAGAUACAUAAAAAAAAUUCUUUUAUAAAGAUUGAAAAAUAAGUGAAACCAAGUAUUUCUUUCUCAUCAAAAACAAAAAAGUGACUGUCAAUUAAUUAAAACCAAACUAUUGAGCACAAAGCCAGUCACUGGCCGACCAUAAGAUAAACAAUUGAUAGCUUAAUUCAAUUCAGUAAGCAGCAGGCAGCUAGCUUUGUUUAUCUUUAUUUUAUUGUGCUGUUGCCUACCUAUUGUCAUUACCUGGCUGAAUCAAUCAACUAAAGCUACGCUGUAUCACCAAAAACAGUUUAAAGGCCCCCUUUAGUUUCGAAAGAAGCCGUGUGAGACGUUUUCGAUACAUUUUUUAAUCAAAAUUUGUCGUUAAUCUCUAAAUUAUGCAUACGUUACUUGUUUCAACUUUUGUAUUCUAAUUUAGUUGUUUUUAGUUUCUAUACUUUUCAGGUCCUCUUCAUAUCACGAAUCCUAAUUUAGCAGAGUUUCUUGCUGUCGCAAUUGCUCUUGAUAUUUUUGCUAAAGCUGAUUGGAAUGCCAUUAAUUGGAUUGUUAAUUGUGACAUGCGACAAUGGACUUUAUGAAUGAUUUGUGGGGGAUUGGUACUGGGGUUGUAAAUGUCAGCUUUACUGAAGUUCACAGGGAACCACAAGGAAUGGUAGAUGCUAUGGUUACAGCAGGAACAGACAGAUCUGAAUUAUUUCCAGCAUGGUGGUAGCAUCAGAUCUGGUUUUUUUGUGAUUUUCUUUUUACUUUCUGGGAGUAAGUUUCCUUUCCCUUAAUCUAUAACCUUUUUAUCAAAUAUCAAUUAACAUACUUGAUACAAGUCCUUUGUCAUUCCACUGUAUAUGAUUCAAUCUACGCAAAUAUAAACAUUUAUCAUAAACAUUCAAUUGCAUUAGGGUUACUAGAAUAAUCCUUGGUUACGUAAGCUAAGAGUCAAAAACUCUCUUCAACCAAGUUAGAAUACUUGGGUUGUUAUGGAAGGGACCAUGGAAAUUACAUGGAUUAUGGAGCUUAAUUCAUCAGUUGACUUUAGCAAUGGGUGAUGUGGGCUUCAAAAGAACAAUUUCCUUUGCUGCUUCGUGGUGAUUUCACGGUCAUUCAUUGAUUCUUGUCGUGUGUUUGGUUCGAUUUUGUCAUACGUUGGUCUUUCUUUUGGAUUAUUAUGUUGUAAUGUUCUGCAUUGUGGCCUGUUGCUACUCUGUAUUCGACUCUACUUUUAUUAAUCAAACUAGAAUUAACCUCUCCCAAGGGUGUUUAUUUUUUAAUAUUUUAAGUAAUUAGUAAUAAAUAAUUUUAAAUUAAAUUUUACAAAAUAAAACAAAAAUUAAAGUAAUGAUAAUUAUUUAUUUAUCUUUUAUAUAUUACAAAUUUACAUAUUAUAUAUGAAUUUUAAAAAUAUAUUUAAAUACUAUAAAAUUUAAAACAAAGGGAAAAAAAAAAGAAACCUUAUCUACCCACUUGUGGGGAUUCUUUUUAUUGCAAGGUACUAGUAUAGUUUCCAAUUAUAUAUUGGAUUAAUUAUUUGUUUGGGUUAAGGUAAAAUUUAAAAGUUAAUUCUUGCUGCAGUUUUAUUUUUAUGAAUUAAUUCAUUUAUAUUUUAAAUUUAAAAAUUUUAAUCUAAUUAUUACCGUCGUAAUUUUUUUAAAAUUCGUUGUUAUAACAUAUUGAAGUUUUAAAAAACAACCCCUUAAUAACCUUGUAAAAAAAUGACAUUGAAAAUAUUAAUAUAAAUUAAAAAAACUCAUUUUAAAUAUUAAUAUAAAUAUUAUAUAUUUAUUUUUAGUGCUCUUAAAGUUAUUUUAAGGUUGCAAAUGAAAGCAAAUUCUCCUUCUAAACAUUGCAUAACUUGCAUUACAUAAUAUUAAUUCAAUAAUCAUUAUCAUUACUAGACACGUCCACAGAAAACAGAAAAGACUUGGGAGGUAUUUCAAGGAGCUCUUCUUCACUUUCAAGCAUCUUCAAAACUUUGGUCAUUGUAGGACGAUGUACGGGCUUCGUCUGAAUGCACCAAAAUGCAACGAUUAUCAUUUUCCUCACAAUUUUAUUUACAUUUUCUGUCAUGUUUUCAAGCUCUAUGUUCUCUCCUAAUUCAAAUUGAUGAUAAAUCCAUGACGGGAAAUAAAUUUUACUUGAAUUGUCAACAAAAGCAUUCAGAUUUUUCCUCCUUCCCACAAUUUCCAUUAACAUCAUUCCAAAGCUAUAAACAUCAGCUUUAUACGAGAUACCUCCAAGAUUUUUAUAAAACAAUUCAGGAGCCAUAUAUCCUAGUGUACCUCGUGCUGCUGUGAGAGAAAUAAUGCUAUCAUCCACUGAAUGCAACUUUGCAAGGCCAAAAUCUGAGAGUUUAGGAUUAAAUUUUUCAUCUAAUAGAAUGUUAUGUGGCUUGAUGUCAAAAUGUAAAAUCUUCAUAGCACAACCAUU
rnacentral:lncRNA from 1 species